UACGUAGGGGGCAAGCGUUGUCCGGAUUUAUUGGGCGUAAAGAGCGCGUAGGCGGCCAUGUAGGUCCGUUGUGAAAACUCGAGGCUCAACCUCGAGACGCCGAUGGAAACCAUGUGGCUAGAGUCCGGAAGAGGAGAGUGGAAUUCCUGGUGUAGCGGUGAAAUGCGCAGAUAUCAGGAAGAACACCCGUGGCUAAGGCGGCUCUCUGGAACGGUACUGACGCUGAGACGCGAAAGCGUGGGGAGCGAACAGG
rnacentral:rRNA from 1 species